rnacentral:rRNA from 1 species
AGAGUUUGAUCCUGGCUCAGGACGAACGCUGGCGGCGUGCUUAACACAUGCAAGUCGAACGAGGUUACUAUUUCAACAUCCUUCGGGGUGGCGAGAUUUUAAUCGAGUGGCGGACGGGUGAGUAACGCGUGAGCAACCUGCCUUGCACAGGGGGAUAACACAUGGAAACGUGUGCUAAUACCGCAUGACACCAUAGUAUCACAUGGUACAGUGGUCAAAGAUUUAUCGGUGCAAGAUGGGCUCGCGUCCCAUUAGCUAGUUGGUGAGAUAAAAGCUUACCAAGGCGACGAUGGGUAGCCGACCUGAGAGGGUGAUCGGCCACACUGGGACUGAGAUACGGCCCAGACUCCUACGGGAGGCAGCAGUGGGGAAUAUUGCGCAAUGGGGGGAACCCUGACGCAGCAACGCCGCGUGAGUGAAGAAGGUUUUCGGAUCGUAAAGCUCUGUCAUCGGGGACGAAGAAGUGACGGUACCCGAGGAGGAAGCUCCGGCUAACUACGUGCCAGCAGCCGCGGUAAUACGUAGGGAGCGAGCGUUGUCCGGAAUUACUGGGCGUAAAGGGUGCGUAGGCGGCCAAAUAAGUCAGAUGUGAAAUACCAUGGCUCAACUGUGGGGGUGCAUUUGAAACUGUAUGGCUUGAGUGCAGGAGAGGAAAGUGGAAUUCCUAGUGUAGCGGUGAAAUGCACAGAGAUUAGGAGGAACACCGGUGGCGAAGGCGACUUUCUGGCUGACAACUGACGCUGAGGCGCGGAAGCGUGGGGAGCAAACAGGAUUAGAUACCCUGGUAGUCCACGCCGUAAACGAUGAUUACUGGGUGUAGGGAGUAUCGACUCUCUCUGUGCCGAAGCAAACGCGAUAAGUAAUCCACCUGGGGAGUACGGCCGCAAGGCUAAAACUCAAAGGAAUUGACGGGGACCCGCACAAGCAGUGGAGUAUGUGGUUUAAUUCGAGGCAACGCGAAGAACCUUACCAGGGUUUGACAUCCUGCGCCAGGCUUGGAGACAGGCUGUUCCUUCGGGACGCAGAGACAGGUGGUGCAUGGUUGUCGUCAGCUCGUGUCGUGAGAUGUUCGGUUAAGUCCGGCAACGAGCGCAACCCUUGUUGUCAGUUACCAUCAUUAAGUUGGGGACUUUGGCGAGACUGCCGUUGACAAAACGGAGGAAGGUGGGGAUGACGUCAAAUCAUCAUGCCCCUUAUAUCCUGGGCUACACACGUACUACAAUGGGCGUUACAGCGGGCAGCCACACCGCGAGGUGGAGCGAAUCCCAAAAGGCGUCCUCAGUUCGGAUUGCAGGCUGCAACUCGCCUGCAUGAAGUCGGAAUUGCUAGUAAUGGCAGGUCAGCAUACUGCCGUGAAUACGUUCCCGGGUCUUGUACACACCGCCCGUCACACCAUGAGAGUCUGUAACACCCGAAGUCAGUAGUCUAACCUGAUUGAAUUAGGGGGACGCUGCCGAAGGUGGGAUAGAUAAUUGGGGUGAAGUCGUAACAAGGUA